GCAAGGGACGCUAGUACAGGUGGUGCAUGGCUGUCGUCAGCUCGUGUCGUGAGAUGUUGGGUUAAGUCCCGCAACGAGCGCAACCCUUACCCUUAGUUGUUUUCCCGAAAGGAUUACCCUCUAAGGGGACUGCCCCGGACAACGGGGAGGAAGGUGGGGAUGACGUCAAGUCCGCAUGCUCCUUACGUCUAGGGCUACACACGUCCUACAAUGGGGUCGACAGUGGGAUGCAAAGCCGCGAGGUGGAGCCAAUCCCCAAACGGCCUCUCAGUUCGGAUAGUAGUCUGCAACUCGACUACUUGAAGUCGGAAUCGCUAGUAAUGGCGGAUCAGCAUGCCGCCGUGAAUACGUUCCCGGGUCUU
rnacentral:rRNA from 1 species